AAACUGGAUCAGUUUAUUGUACAGCAGAAAUUGACAGAACAUUGUAUAUCAACUAUACUAAAAAAAAGUUUUUUUUAAGUCAUCACUUUACAGAAGUGAAUUUUUUUUCCCCUGUGGAACCAUGUGUUAAUUCAAUAAGCAAUUUCCUCUAAUUCCUUGAAGUCAUCACCAGGUGUUACUUUCUGAAAAUUUAUUAUAAAAUUACCUUUUACAUCACUUUCAUCAGUAGCCCUCAAAACUCAGAUCAACCUAUGAGUGUUCUCUAGUCUUAAAAAAUGCCCAGUUCCGCUUUACAUUGUCAGGCUGUAUUAAGUUGGUUUUGUUUUGUUUUCUUUUUAUAGCAACACCCAUGGCAUAUGGAAUUUCCUGCUGAAGAGCAGCAACUGGGGCCUACACCAGUCACAGCAACACUGGAUCCAAGCCCUAUCUUCAACCUACGCCAUAGCUUGUGGCAACAUAGGAGCCUUAACUCACUGAGCAAGGCCAGGAAUCAAACCCACAUCCUCACAGAGAUAAUAUUAUAUCCUUAACCUGCUGAGCCACAAUGGAAACUCCAGUUUGCUAACUAAAACUUAAGGACUUAAAAUAACAAUCAUGAUUCUCUAUGUAGUUUGCCAUUUGGGGCUAGGUUCAGCUGGUGGCUCUUGUGGUCUUAGCUGGGCUAAUUCAUGCUCUGGAGUCAGUUGCUGGAUCGGCUGGGAGAUGCUGGUCUAGUAAGUCUCAGACGGGACAGCUUGUCUCUAAUGCAUGUGGUCUCCCAUCCUCCAAAAUGCUAGGCUGGGCCUGGAGGCUGCACAGAGUUCCAAGAGGGAGAAAGCAGAAGUGAUCGACGCUCUUGAUGUAUAGGCUCAGAAUUAGCACAUAAUUACUUCUGCCACAUUCUACUAGCCAAGUCACAUGACCAGCUUAUUUGCAAGGGGUGGAGAAAUAAAAUCCACAUCUUAAUGGGAAGAUUGCAAAGUCACAUUGCAAAAGGUGUGGAUAUAGAGGCAAAGGAUUGUGGCCAUUUUUGCAAUCUAUCAUCCAGAUAAGAUUGCCAGAUAAAAUACAGGACACCCAGUUAGUGAAGAAUAUUUUAGUAUAGGUAUGUCCCAUGACUUAUUUAGGACAAGUCUAUAAAAAAAUAAAUAAAUGAUUUUUUGUUUAUCGUAAAUUCACAUUGAACUGGAUAUCCUGUAUUUUUGUUUGCUAAACCUGGCAACCCUACGCACUGAUCAUAUCAAAAAUAAAUAAAACCUCUCUAUCUAAAAGAGAAAGAGAACUUUGAACUUGAAAUUAAUUUUAAAGUAUACAAUUAUAGCAAAUGAUGUUAGAAUGAGCUCCAAGUACGCCUAAAGGAAAUGAGUAACUUGGCCCCCUCUCCAGAGUCUACGAAACUUCUUGGCUUAACUGGUAUUAAAUAACCCUAAAAAUAAUAUAUAACAUACUCUGUUUCAUAUCAGAUAUGCAUUAGAGGAAAAAAUGCUACAUAGAACAUUAACAAGAGAAGAGUCUAUCCUUUCUACAAUUUGGACCAUUCUAUACUUAAAAUAAUUCUUUUACCUACCUAAGAGGAAUUUUUUAAAUCCUUGGAAAAUAUUAAUCAUUAUGCUGUCCUAGAAUUUAUUAUACCUAAUCAGACCAAGGAUACUUGAAAUUCAUGUUUUAAGUACCCCAUUCAUACACCGUAGUAAAAUUUGAUGCUUUCCUCUAUGACUUUUUAUGACUGCUGUAUUUUUCCUACUAUAACUUUUGUGACUGGAAGUGACAGUGCAAAGGUCAAAUAAAUGUACACCAUUAAGCAAUACAACCUGACAUUUCUAGACAAUAACUGCCUCAGAUGAGGAAAGGGACACAUGCCUGAAAUGUCACAGCCCUUCUUGAUGUCCUUUUGCUCUUGAGGUCAUCUGCUGGCUGAGCGCAAUGAUUAUGCUACAAAUUUAUGAGGAAUCUCUCUGAUGGCAUUCCUAGGUAAUACAGAAUUCAGCACACAGGACAUGCUGAGUGUUAUUAACCAGCUUGUGAUGCAGUUUCUUGCACUCAGCUUUAAAUAAGAUCAAGCUCUUUUGUUUAUCCCAGAACCUCAGACUUGAAAGGAAAUUUGAGAUUCCUACUCUAUGGCCCCAUUAUACAAAACACAAAACAAAAUCCUAUGUCCAGGAUUGUACCAGCAGAUGUGUGUGUGUGUGAUGGCAGAGCCUAGGAACAAAGAUUUCUGCGUUGUAUUUCAAACAUGAAGAUAAUGGACAAACCUGAUAAAAACUAGCAUCCACUUAGUUGGAGUUCCUUGGUGGCUUAGUGGUUAAGGAUCUGGCAUUGUCACUGUUGUGGCCUGGGUCACUGCUCUGUGGUAUAGGUUCAAACCCUGGCCCAGAAAUUUUGGCAUGCCAAAAGUGUGGCAAAAAAUAAAAAUAAAAAUAAAAAAGGAACAUCCAUUGAAGAAGAACUUUUUCAAAUAAACAAGUACAUUUCCAAAGAUUUCAUGGAGCAAAAUGACGGUCAAGUCUGCCAUGUUAGGACCAUAUUUAUAUUCCAAAUUUUACAGGAAACUUCCAGAUAUAGCUUGUCCUUCAGAAAGGGACUAACCAGAGAUUGCACUAAAAUAGGAAUGUGAAAGAUUAAUAUAGUUGGAAUUUUGAUAUCUCAUUUGUAAAAGUGAGUAAAGAGAUCCAGUUAUGAAACAGAGUUAUUGCAAACACAUAUUCAUUUCCCUGUACCAUAAUGUUCCCAGUUCACCCUACUUUCUGACUUCAAGCCAUGGACAACAUCAGUUUCUUUGUCUGGUGCCUCUUCUUUACAUUAUAAAGCCCUGUAACCCUCAAAUCCUAGAUGAAAUGCCAAACCUCCCACAAAAGUCUCCUAGAUCUCCCCAUUGUUUCAACUGCAUCCCACAUUUAAAAGAAAAUCUUCCGACUCUACAUUUCAACAUUUUCUCAUAUAAAUUAACUUCUGUCCUUACAUUGCUCUAAUGCAUAGCUCAUUCAUUCACUCUUUCAAUGUCCAUUAGGGAGAGCCUACUUAAUGCCAAGCUCUCUUCCAGGUUCUGCGGAUACAGUAUGAACAAAAGAAACAAAAAUCCCUGAUUUCUUGAAACUUACAUGCCAGUGGGUGAAGAGGACAUGGAACAAAUUUUUUUAAAAACCUAAACGGGAAAGAGUGAUAGAAAGUCCUGGGGAAAGAUGUACAAUUGUAAAUAGGGUGAUCGGCGAAGGCCUCACUGGCUGAUACUGGACAGAGGACUUGGAGGUGAGGGAGCAAGGCUCACAAGCGACCAGGAACGAUUCUUCUGGAAGGGGAAGAGCAAGCGCAAGAGCCCUGAGCCAGGAGGACACCAGGCACCCUGGAAUAAGAGCAAGAAAUCCCCUGUAGUUGAAACAGAGUGGCCAAGGCAAAGAUCAAUAGGAAAGAAGUCUAGAAAAGGAGCAGGAGGGGCUACACCAUGAAAGCCAUUGAUCACUUGGGAAGUAUAGUGGAUUGACGGUACCGAUGGAGAAUUAUUUGUUAGAGUUGUAGAACUAGAGGGAGUGAGUUGGAAAGUGGGUUAUUUUUAGAAGAUGGGACACUUGAAAUUGAGAUUAGGGAGGUUAUUUGUAAGGAUAAGUUUUGAUAAUGAAAAGGUCUAGAGUAUCACCUUCAGAGUGAGGGCUGAGGAAAGGGAGAGAAUAAGAUUAUUAGAACAAGGGAUAAAGACUAGUCUAGUCUCAUGAUAUGAUAUUGAGAACUGAUUGUUUUAAAGAAGAGGGAUAAGUUAUCUGAAGGCAGAAGGGAGAAUAUAGGGGAACACUUAACCUACCUCCAAGCCCAGUGGUAGAUGAGGAAGAGAAAAUAACCACUUGAGAGGGUUCUCAAGGAAGCAAGUUACAAGAAAGCCGGCGGGGGAGUGGGGGGUUGCUUGUUUUUCUUUUUAUGGUUGCACCUGAAGAAUAUGGAAGUUCCUGGUGCAGGAGUCAAAUUCAGUGCCACAGCUGGGGCCUAUGCCACAGCCACAGCAACGCAGAUCCAAACUUAUCUGUGACCUAAGCCACAGUUUGUGGCAAAAUUGGAUCCUUAACCCACUGAGUAAGGCCAGGGAUCGAACCUAUAUCCUCACAGAGACAAUGUCGGUUCCUUAGCCCACUGAACCACCAAGAGAGCCAGAUUUUAAUUAGAAUAAAAACAUGAAGAGAUUGGUCAGAAAGUACACUGAUAUCAGAAUUUUGCUAAUGCAUGACUCGGUUCCCAAGGACAGAGUGAAAGAGCUUGGGGAAUUGGAGAGGAGUGUGGGGUGCGGUCAGAAUACAGGUUAUACAGAGGAUCCAUUUGGAGAUUAGAGUGAGAAAGUUCAUAACUGAUCUUCUUGUGAGGACUGGCAGGUCAGUCCUGGUGGUUAUAAGUCUGCAGUGGGAAGCAAUGGAUGCUGGAAAUCGGGAGGGAGGAACAUUUUGCCAGAAGCAGUGUUCAGGGUCUCCCCUCUGUAUCCACAACCACAGAUAACUGAAGGCAUGAGAAGGGGCAGUCUCACUCCAAGCACAAAGGGCUGCCUCACUUACUCAUUCUCUCUUUGUUUCAGCAGUAUAUACUGUCUCAUUUUCCUACUAGAUCAUAAGCUCUUUGAGGUUAGUAAGAAAUUUUCCUCAUUUUGACCACACAUAUUGAUGGCCAGUACUAAAUUUGUCAAUAAAUAUUUGUUCAAAAACAAAUACAUACUUUUUACUGGAUGGAAGGAGUGGUUGAAAAAAGACAGAUGUUUUUGCACUCAGUCUUCCCUCUGAGAACCCUCAAGAGCUCCCCAACCCCUGACAUUCUUGAGUCCAGUCUUAGAAAACCAAGUGCUAUUACAAAACCUGGUAUGUAAUAAGUCUGCUUGUGAAAAGUGCAGGUUUAUGGCUCUCCUUCCCUAUUGUAAGAAGUCAUGUCUGUGUUUAUAAUAUUUGCCUCACUGAUCAUUUCCUUUUACAGAAGAGAGAAUCAAUAACCAAGACAAAGUACAAUUCUCUAAGGACACUGAAAUCCACUCCAAGUUUUCCUGACAAUUUGUCCAGACAUAGCCAUGCCCGGGAUCAAAUAACAAGGGUGAUGAUCUUGCUAUAAGCAAAGUUUUGGCAAUCCUGGGGAUCCAUGUCAUCAUCAGGUGUGACUCAGUCUUGGAACCAUUAAGGAAUUGAUAAUAUGUGGCUAACAGAUAAUCUGAUGUGGAGGCGAGGUUGUGGCAGGAAAAGCCCAGAAUUCACAAGGUGACCUAGAAUCAGCCUUAGCAAGUAUGUAACCCGACAGUUGAAUUGCUGGCAUAAGGUGACCAUCACCGACUUCUCAUCUGGGCCUCACCAAAACAAAGCCAUAGUAGCCACACCAGUUU
rnacentral:lncRNA from 1 species